GGCAGCCUUCUGAAGUGGUCUGGUGUUACUGUGUGUGGGUGAAGCCUUCUGGAAUUGUGCGGUGACACUGUGUGCUGUGACAGGAGAUCACAGAAAGGGAAGGAAAAGGAAAAAAUCCCUGGAGUUGGGGACAGACACGGCCCAGGAGAGGCGGAAUGAGGGACAAAAUCCAUUCCAGCUGCUCCCGCCGCAGGCCAGUUUCCUCUGAAAUAUCCUGUAAUCUCCUCCCAUAUGUGGGAGAGGCUCCGGCUGCUUCUUCCCAGUCUGCUUAAAGCGGGAGUUUAAACUUUGGCAGAGGUGUUAGAUGGGACAACCACACCUGGAACCACCGCUGGCACAUAAUUCUGGAAUUGUUGAGGUUGGAAUUCCAGAUCCCUGCCUUGGCAGGGAGUGCCACAUCCAGGAAUUCCUUGGACACCUCCAGAGAUGGGGACUCCAAACCUCCAUGGGUAAUUCCAAUCCCUGACUGCCCUUUCCAUAAGGAAAUUCCUGCUGAUGUCCAACCUGAGCUUCUCCUGGAAAAAAAUCCUUCAGGGAAGAGAUCUGUGGUAAAAAUCCAAUUAUUUGGUCUGAUUUCAUUUGGACUGGGAUCUUUACCCCCCCUUGGAAUUCCUUGGGAUGAAGGAACCAUCUCAGCCAGGAAAAAAUGGGACAGUCCAAGAGUUUUUUCUGCAGGAAAGGGAUGAAGCCAAGCCCAUAUUUCCUGGGAUAACACAUAGUGGGAUGGUCAGUGAAGGUUUAGAAUAAAUGUUAGGGAAAAAUUUAUCCAUGGGAAUGACUGUCAGGGAUGGGAAUGGGAUGCCCAGGGCAGUGGUGGAAUCCAAAUUCCUGGAAUUGUCCAAAGAAUUUAUGGAUGUGGCAUUUGAGGAAAGAUUUGUGGUGAAUCUGGUGGGA